UUUUUUUUUUUCACUGGGUGGUGGAGAGCUUAGCAGUAAAAUGAGGGGCAUAAAAAUCUAACAAGUGAAACAAAACAGAAGUAACACUGCUGCGCAAUGUUUGACCUGGUUUUUAGUUUCGUUUGUGAGCUGUACAAGGAAAUGAGUUGAGUUUCAAAGCAGACCUCAUCAGGUGUAAUCCUACAUGGUCUCUACUCCAGAGUUGGGGCAAACUAGUGGCUGCCAUGCUUCUGAGCACCAGAGAUGUGGCUUCAUCAGCAGAGGCUGUACUGGCUUCAGAGGUGGUGAAUGGUUUGAGCCAGGCAAGAACCUGGUUCUCUGGACCCUCCUCUAAGGCAAUGUUAUCCUCACUUGUGCACUCAUUGUGACAUUUCCUACUGUGCAGAAAGCCACGCUCUAUGAUCCAAGGGAGACCCCAGUUUAAGAGGGGGUCUGCCAGAUAUCACAGGCUGUGGGUGGAUUUUUGCCUAGGACGGGUGUCCCCAGCGAUUUCCUUGGUGUCUCGUACCUGGCAUCCUUCACAGUUGUGUAAAGAGAGGUGCUAUGUAAAGAGUGGCUGUCUGGUCAGGCCACUGACAGAAUGAUGCCAAGGAGCAGCCUUCUGCUUACUCACCAGACGUGUGCAGAAUAGCCAGAGGAAGGGAAGUGGGCCUUCUUGGAGAAGUGAACCCCUUGAGCUGCUCCUGAGCUAGAUUCUGAUACAGGCCCCCUCCUUUGCUUUCUCUACCCCCUACCUCGCCUUGGAUUUUUCUGCCUUUUCGAAGAGAGGGAGCGAGGGAGAGUGGAAGGACUCAGUGAGGAAGGAGUUAAGGGAAUGCUCACUGGGGAUUAUAAAACAGCCAGGCACUUGGAAACAGUUAAGAAGAGAGAAACAGAUCUGCCAGGAGGGAGUGUGGCACUGGAGCCGGUGGUUUAUUUUCAUGCCUCCCUACACAGCAAUGCAGACGGCUCUCCUACAAUGGGGACGGAGGAAUUUGUGAAUCUCCCUGCAAAUAAUCAGGGGAAGGAUCAGUUUAUGCCAAUGUAAGAUUCACUACCUCUGAGUAUUGUCCAUCUGCCUGUCCUAUAUCCAGCUUAUGACCAGUGAUGCCUGCAGUGCCUGACACUUGCUUUCUCUUUCCGAGAGAACAGGAGGAAAGGUGGGGCUUAUGCUCUAAGCAAAAGUCCCUGUUUGGAAUUGAGUAACAAGACUUUGUUAUGCGUUAAAGUUAAAAAUAAAUUGAUCUUGUUUAUCUGAACAGAACCAGGAUAUAAAAUAAAGUUCUAGCUACA